AUGUUACCUUGAAGAGAAAUGAUGACGUAAAAAUUAAGUUCAGUUGGAUUACGCUGAGGCCCAGCCUAGGUAACAAUUGUGAGACAAGAAGUUUGGAUUUCUUAGUUUCCUUCCAUUGGGGACUUUAUUUUGGGAUUCUGGCAAUGGAAUCUUAUUGCGAAACUUGUUUUGCACGCUUCUAUCUGUGUGCUUCUAAGUAAACUAUAAAUUCUGAUUCUUUAAGUGCUAUUUAAGUUUCCUACAAUUCCUAAUUUUCUUGGAUAUUUGGCACUAAGACCCUUGCUCUUUUUCUCUCAUUGGAUGAUUUAGUAAGUCCUACUGGCACUAUUCUAUUGAGUGGAGAUAAGGAUGACUGAGGAAGAGUACUCUUUGGCUUGUUGACACCAGCACAGCUGACACACCCAGAUAUCUGUUUGGUCUCCUGUGAACUUUCAACCAGGAUUUAAGGAUGCCACUCUGGUUAAAAGCUGAAACAACUUCAAGGAAACUUCAGGGAAAAGAGAAGGCCUGGAAUCUGAUCCUCCACUUCAGAGAACAGGGGUGGUGGAGUCUAUGGCCCUUCUCCUUGAAUCUGAGUGAAAUUAGUGAGUCUUUCAAUCCAAAGACUACAGUCAUACCUCAACUAUCUACAGAGGACUGGUUCCAGGACUCCCAUGGAUCCCAAAAUCCAAGGAUGCUUCGAAUCCCUUAUAUAAAAUGGCAUGGUAUUUGCAUAUAACCUACAUGCAUCUUCAAAUAUGUUAAACCAUCUCUAGAUUACUUAUAAUACCAAAUACAAUGUAAUGCUAUGUAAACAGUUGUUACAAUGUAUUGUCAAAGACAAGCUCUCCUUGCCAAUCCCUGACCAAAUGAGAGAUUCAUGAGCAAAAUAAAUAGUUGCUGAUAUUUAAGGCACUAAGUUUGGGGCAAUGUAUUACACAGCAAUAAAUAACUGGAACAGCAUAGUAAAUUCUAGUUAAAAAUACUAAACUACUAAGUUUUAGUUAACAUACAUGCUCAAGUUAAGGGUGUGGUAUACUAACAACUGCAACUUACUUUGAAAAGCAUAAAAAAAGACACUAGAAGAAGACAGGAUGGAUAGAUGGACAAGAUAGAAGACAAUAACAAAUAGAACAAAAUGUUGUGAAAUUAUAUUCUACAAUUAUUUUAAAGUCUGUGUGGUUUGAAAAAUUGUACGAUAAAAUGAAGAGUGAAAUAAAGACAUUUCCAUACAAACAAAA
rnacentral:lncRNA from 1 species